rnacentral:rRNA from 1 species
ACGCGUUGCCCGGCCUUCAAUCAAUAAAUAAAUACACACCCGGACCCAACCAACCCACCCCCGCACGCACCAAAGCUCCCAGCUUUUUCCCCUUCCGUCCUUCGUCGCCGCCGCUCUAGGGUUUCCUCUUCCCGAUCCCCGAUCCAGCAGCAGCGAGCGAGCGAUGGCGGCCGCGGGAGACGCCGGCGAGAAGAAGAUGAUCACGCUCAAGAGCUCGGACGGCGAGGAGUUCGAGGUGGAGGAGGCGGUGGCCAUGGAGUCGCAGACGAUCCGCCACAUGAUCGAGGACGACUGCGCCGACAACGGCAUCCCGCUCCCCAACGUCAACUCCAAGAUCCUCUCCAAGGUCAUCGAGUACUGCAACAAGCACGUCCAGGCCAAGCCCGCCGACGGGGCCGCGGCCGCCGCCGGAGCCUCGGACGCCGCCGCCCCCGCCGCUCCCGCGGAGGACCUCAAGAACUGGGACGCCGAGUUCGUCAAGGUCGACCAGGCCACCCUCUUCGACCUCAUCCUGGCUGCCAACUACCUGAACAUCAAGGGGCUUUUGGACCUAACCUGUCAGACUGUUGCCGACAUGAUCAAGGGCAAGACCCCGGAGGAGAUCCGCAAGACCUUCAACAUCAAGAACGACUUUACGCCCGAGGAGGAGGAGGAGAUCCGCAGGGAGAACCAGUGGGCCUUUGAGUAGAGGAGCAUCUAGGCGAUGCCACCGCCGCGCUGAAAGAACUACGCGUAGUAUUCGUCAUGUCUGUAUUUCAGCGCUCUUCUUUAUGUCUGUCGUAAUGGGUUGUAAUUAUCCUCGAGUCUAUGAGGUGGUGUCGGUGAACAUCUUCGGUCAGUGGUUAUGUUUGCGAGAACAAGAAAAACCUAUCGUGGUCUGUGGUCAUCGCUUGUCAAACUGAAUCUUAAUCGUCAAGUGGAUGCUUUGCUUGGUUAUCAUCUUCCUGUUCUGAUUGUUGCUGUGUUAUUUGAGCUUCUUUGUUGAAGCUUAAUGUGUUGGAUGCUGGUUCUUUAAGAUUGGAAACAUUUGCAGAUUUCUGUUGAGCUAGAUUGGCUCUCUUGCAGAUUUCUGUUUGGUUAUAUAUUUCUGUUGUGCCUGAGAGAGCAAAUAAAUUGAAAUUGUUGUGGGCCUCUGAUUUCUGAAGAUGUAGAUGAUAAGGAAGUGUCUCAUUCAGAGGGUGAGGGGCCUGGAGCCACUCAUGAUCUUGUGGUCUUAUCCACCAAGUGGUCUUCCAAAAUAGCAGAAAAUCCUGGCGCCUCAUGUUUGCUUCUCAACCUGAUAAGAAAAGCACUACUUGUAGCUUGUCAUCACCACUUGCAUCUAGCUUCUUGUUUCUCCUCCUUGCAGCUGCUCCCCCCUGCUCCAGCCAUGGCGAAGCCGAUAUCGAUAGAGGUGUGGAACCCCAGCGGCAAGUACCGCGUGGUGAGCACCAAGUCCAUGCCCGGCACCCGCUGGAUCAAGCUCCUCACUGGCAACGACUGCCGCCUCGAGAUAUGCACGGAGAAGAAGACCAUCCUCUCUGUUGACGACAUACUGGCACUCAUCGGUGAUCACUGCCAUGGUGUCAUCGGCCAGCUAACAGAGGACUGGGGGGAAGUGCUCUUCUCUGCGCUCAAGCGUGCCGGCGGGACAGCCUUCAGCAACAUGGCCGUCGGUUACAACAACGUUGAUGUCGAUGCUGCCAACAGGAAUGGCAUCGCCAUCGGCAACACGCCUGGUGUUCUUACCGAGACGACGGCGGAGCUGGCGGCGUCGCUGUCGGUGGCGGCUGCCCGGAGGAUCGUUGAGGCCGACCAAUUCAUGAGGGCUGGCCUCUACGACGGAUGGCUUCCGCACUUGUUUGUUGGGAACUUGCUCAAGGGGCAGACUGUUGGAGUGAUCGGAGCUGGCCGCAUCGGCUCAGCUUAUGCAAGGAUGAUGAUUGAGGGGUUCAAGAUGAACUUGAUCUACUUCGAUCUGUACCAGUCCACACGGCUCGAGAAAUUCGUCACAGCGUAUGGCCAGUUCCUGAAAGCCAAUGGUGAGCAGCCUGUGACAUGGAAGAGGGCCUCCAGCAUGGAGGAAGUUCUCAGGGAGGCCGAUGUGAUAAGCCUGCACCCAGUGCUGGACAAGACGACGUACCACCUGAUAAACCCUGAGCGGCUGGCGAUGAUGAAGAAGGAGGCAGUGCUGGUGAACGCCAGCCGUGGCCCGGUGAUCGACGAGGUUGCACUGGUGGAGCACCUGAGGGCGAAUCCCAUGUUCCGUGUUGGCCUCGAUGUUUUUGAGGAUGAGCCUUACAUGAAGCCAGGGCUGGCUGAGAUGAAGAAUGCCGUCGUCGUGCCUCACAUCGCAUCUGCAUCGAAGUGGACGCGUGAAGGGAUGGCGACGCUCGCUGCUCUGAACGUGCUUGGUAAGAUCAAGGGGUACCCGGUGUGGGGGAACCCGAACGCGGUGGAGCCCUUCCUCGACGAGAAGGCGGCGCCGCCCCCUGCCUGCCCAAGCAUCGUUAACGCCAAGCAACUCGGCCUGCCAUCUUCCAAGCUUUAGGCAGAGGCAGAGGCAGAGAUGGAUGAAUCACUGCUACUACUACUACUACUUGCUAAGAUGCUAUGCAUAUAUAGCUCCUUACCAGUAUAUAUGUAUGAAUGCCCUCAUCCUCAUGGAGUAGCAGUACUGAAUGAAUGAAUGAUUAUAUAUAUCAAGCAAGAGAUUUUUGAUCAGUUAUGCAUUUAUUAUAUGUUUCCCUGCCCUGCCCUGCCCUGACCUUCCCUGCAUUACUUAUACCCACUGCUUGCUACUAAAUUAAGCUUGGCAAAUUAUGUUAUGAUGUAUGCUAGAUAUUAUAUAUGCUGUGAUGUAUGAUAGAUAUAUUAUGCUCCAAGGGAAUUACACCACUACUGCAUUAGCAUCUGCCUGGCUGCCAAAGACUAAGAUAAAGAUAGCUUUCUUGUUUGUUUGUCUUGAUAUAUUUGUGGACCUUCAUUUGUUCUUUUUUUUUGGUCUCACUUUUUCUUCUCUUUUUUGAAUUCACAAACAUUGUUCAAUUUUUGAACAUUUUGUAAAUUCAUAAACAUUUUCCAAAUUCGUGAAUAUUUUUUGAAUUAAUAAACUUUUUCUAAAACCUUUCUUUUCCGCGGAGAACUUAUUCUAAGCUUGUGGAUACCAAAUUUGCCACAGUUUUUCAGAUUUGUGAAUAUUUCCUAAAUUCACGAAUAUUUCUGAACUUAUGGAUUAUUUCUGACAUUCAAGAACAUUUUUUGAAUUCGUGAACCGUUCAAAAAAUUUGUGCUCUCCUUUUCAAUUUGUGUUCUUUUAAAUUCAUGAACAUUUUUAAAAGUCAUGAAGAAUUUGCCAAUAUUUUUAAAAUCCAAAAACAUUCUCAAAUUAAUAAAUUUGUGAACCCUUUUCUAAUUUGAGAUUUUUUUAAAUUAUCAUUUUAAUUUUACAAGCAUUUCUAAAGACUAUGGUUUAGAAUUUUUUUCAUAAUCUGAUGUUUCAUUUGACGGUCACCGGGGUGCGUUUACGUGGCCGUCAUCAACACUUGAAGUUUUGGCUGAUUCUGGCCCCGUUUCAUGGACCAUUACUCACUGAUUUGGGGUCCCUGAGCGAUUUCCAUGAUUAACGAACCCCGGGGUGCGUGUCGGGGAUAUAACCCACAGUAUAAACCGCCGGAUGUAUGACCCGGCUAGAGUUUGGCAAUUUGCUGGCGACCCACUUGGACUUGGCGGUUUACGAUUCAUUGGUAAUCCGACAGGCGGGUCAGAGGAGCGACAAGACCCGGUCGCCCAUCGAGCGGUUUAUGGAAGGCCGGAUCACGCUAUGGUGGGCCGAUUUAAGAGGAAAGGCGUGAGGAAUAUUUACUUUACAAGGAAGACCCGGACUUGUAUCCGGUUUGUAUUAGAAGAGAGACUAGUCCUAAUCCUAAAACGACUCCACAUGUAACCCGCCCCUCUAACUUAUAUAAGGAGGGGCAGGGCUCCUCAAAGAGGGACAAUCAAGAAACAAUCUCUAGGGCUAGACACAACUAGAGGAGAGCCGGUUUACGGCGACUCCCUCGUGAUGAUAAUGAAAUCUAGCCUCAAACAGCAUGUAGGGUUGUUACCGGAUGAUGUUUCCCAGGGCCCGAAGCUGUCUAAACCCUUGUCUUGUAUUGCGUCUCUCGAUACCGCUCAACCUCUCUCAAGCUACCACAUAGAUGCGUUGGCCUCACGAUUAAGUCCUCACACUAAGGACAUCUAACGUGUUAAUUCCAUGAUAGUUGGCGCCCACUGUGGGGCCUGCGCACGGUGGUGUUGAGUUCUUGGAGGGAUCUUUUCUGAGGAUUGAGAAGCUCGUGAUGUGCCGGAUUAACGAAACCUGUACGGAAGGAUCCACAUCAUCUACACAACAAGCGGUUGGAAUAGCAGAGACCAGAUUCAGAUGAAGAAUAAUUAGGGUUUGAUGUUGUGUGCGCCGCCGCCGACGCGACACGAUCCGUCAAAACCAACGGCAGCUUAAUUUCGUUUGGACGCCGAGUCCUGCAAGCGGUCAAAUCC